GUGGCAUUUACCUUCAAAUAUAGUAUCUCUAUAUCUCUUAGUCUAGGCUUUUUAUUCGUUCUUGCCUGAAGCCUUGUCUUCCCCCUAGACUACUCACUGUUCUUAGUUGCCUUGGUUGUUCAUAACAUCAUAGUUGUUCUAUCCCUAUUUGUUGUAUUAUGCUCUCUCUAUAGCUCUUACUGUUUUUGUUGGUUCUUCCAGCCCUUUACUAUGUCUAGAAGAAGACAUGUUGCUUUUUAUGCUGUUUAUGGUCAUCUUUUUCCUUACUUUAAGCAUUGAGAGUUCUGUCUUGGAAAAUGUCAAGGUCCUAACACAAUUUCAGCUGUGGGCUGCACCAUUGUUCUACCUCUAUGCUUAAGAGUUGUACAUGAAGAGUUUUAAGUUUAGCUGGGUUCUGACUUGCUAUUGUUCUACUUCUUUAUCCUUAGAACGUAUCUACUAUAGCUCCAGGUCUUUUUAUUUUAGAUCUAGGCCUUCUCAUCCUAUAAGUUGCUGUUCUAUUUGUGUUUUCAUUGUUCUGUCUUUUUCUUUUUUUCUUCUUGGAUUGUUAUCUAAAGGCUGUACCUGUUCUUGCUUUAAUCGCUGUACUUCUAGCCAACAAGUACUUCUAGAUUGAUUUUUUUUCCAUUCACUGGCAGUUAUUAUUGUUUUUUUCGUUCUUGAACGUGUAGCAUUGAAGCUGGCUAAACCCUCUAGCUGUUUAUUUGCUUUAAGACCUGUUCAUGUUUUACUCUUACAGUAAUUGUUGCCCUUAGUUAUUCUACAGGGUGGGCCAUUUAUAUGGAUACACCACAAUAACAUGGGCAUGUUUGGUGAUAUUAAAGUCCUGAUUGUGGCACAUUAGUAUAUGUGAGGGGGCAAACUCCUCAAGAUGGGUGGUGACCAUGGAGGCCAUUUAGAAGUCGGCCAUCUUGGAUACAACUUUUGUUUUUUCAAUAGGAAGAGGGCCAUGUGACACAUCAGACUUAUUGGUAAUGUCACAAGAAAAACAAUGGUGUGCUUGGUUUCAACAUAACUUUAUUCUUUCAUGAGUUAUUUACAAGUUUCUGACCACUUAUGAAAUGUGUUCAAUGUGCUGCCCAUUGUGUUGGAUUGUCAAUGCAACCCUCCUCUCCUACUCUUCACACACUGAUAGCAACACCGCAGCGGAAAUGCCAGCACAGGCAUCCAGUAUCUGUAGUUUCAGGUGCAGAUAUGUUGACAAUUGCCUUCAGAUGACCCCAUAGAUGAAAGUCUAAGGGGGUCAGAUCGGGAGACCUUGGGGGCCAUUCAACUGGCCCACGAUGACCAAUCCACUUUCCAGGAAACUGUUCAUCUAGGAAUGCUCGGACCUGGC
ensembl:lncRNA